rnacentral:rRNA from 1 species
CCCUUAGACGUUCUGGGCCGCACGCGCGCUACACUGACGAAGGCAACGAGCUUUCCUUUACCGAAAGGUACGGGUAAUCUUUUGAAACUUCGUCGUGCUGGGGAUAGAUCCUUGCAAUUUUUGAUCUUAAACGAGGAAUGCCUAGUAAGCGCAAGUCAUCAACUUGCGUUGAUUACGUCCCUGCCCUUUGUACACACCGCCCGUCGCUACUACCGAUUGGAUGGUUUAGUGAGAUCCUCGGAUUGGUCCCGGAGCGGCCUCUGGUCGUGCCGGAGUGCCGAAAAGAAUGUCGAACUUGAUCAUCUAGAGGAAGUAAAAGUCGUAACA